rnacentral:rRNA from 1 species
GAUGCGCGUUGGCUGGUGAUCGGGAAGGUUAACAUGACCCGGCAGUUUAGUUCAUCAUCGAUGUUUGAGACCAUGAAAUCCAUCUGGGGAUUAGCACAAGUGCCAAAGUACAGAGAAGCGGGUGAAAAUCUUUAUAUCUUCCAGAUGUUCUACUUAGCAGAUUGGAAGAAAGUUGUCCAUGGAGGACCCUGGUUAUUCCGGGGGAUGGGUAUGCUCAUUGAGGAUUAUGAUGGUAAGCAAGAUCCAGCAUCUUUCGUCUUCGAUGGUUUGUAUGUCUGGGCGCAGAUCCACAAUAUACCAGAAUUGUAUCGCAAGAUCGAGGUGGUUGAUCAACUAGCUCGGCGAAUCGAUCGAGUUAAGGAAACACAACUCUCACCUAGACUCUUCUACGAGGGUGAC